UGGGCUUUUUGAGUGCACUUCACGUGGACCACCGCGUGAGAGUGAGACUCAGCCAACGCUAAGGAACGGCUAUGUUGUCAAAAUAAAAACAAGUUUUAUGAUUAUAUAAAAUUUUUCACAACCUUGGAGGACUCGGUUGGAUACUCCUGGUCCAGGUGUCCCUAAGUACAAGAUUUGGCAUGAGCCAAGUUUUGAGUAAUUCAUGAGUCAUAUUGAUUAUUUGGUUGAAAUGAAUAUUUGUGAUGUGAAAAAUUUGCUGAAGUUAAUUAUUUUUAAUUGUCUCCAUUUACUCGCCUUUAGAUAGUUUAGAUGGUGUCUGUUUACUCACUGGGAUUUUAUAAUCUCACCACCCUCAAUUCCCCACAUUUCAGGUUCGGGAUAGCCG
rnacentral:lncRNA from 1 species